ensembl:snoRNA
ACAUCCCCUUCAGCUUUGCCCUCUUAAGGCUGGCUGUGUCUUAAGUGGCCAACACAGAGGGGUAUAGUAAUCCUCUCUGAAACCCAGAGGUGAGCUUUAAAACUCUGCUUUGGAUCCUGUCUGGAGGGACAAAU